GUCACAUGACCGGUUUAACCCACAGAGCUAGUUGCUCCUUUACGGGUAACCUGCUAAUGCAAUACUGAAAUAUAGGUUAACACAGUGGUAUAUCGCUUCAAAAUCGCUAAUCACUGAGACGUUUGAUUUAAUGUGGUCCUGAGCAAUUCUAAUCAUGUGGAUCGAAAAAAAGGAAUUUAAUUUAAAUUUCACAUGCUCACUAAAAAGUGAUAUUUCCACUGGGUUAACAGCAACUAAUGACAACACAGUUUGACAGAAAGACUGGACAAGUGACGACACAAAUGACACUUUACACACACUGUUUUAAAC